CUCUAUGACAGUGUCAGUCCGAAGCUGUUUGCUAGGAUGAGGUUUUUUUAGCGGACAUUUGUUCAGGCCGGGCUUCCAUUUUAGCAAGCCGACUAUCUAUGCUAACGUUAAGCUAGCAGUUUGGCUUGGCUUCUAUGGUACGCUCAAGUUAGCCACGGUUAGCUUUCUUGCAACAAGCUGUCAUGGCGCCUACAAUUAAGAAUGACUUUGAAAUAAUGGCUAAGCAACUUAAACACAUUAACCUUCUCCCCGUUACUAUUUCCGUUCUUUGUCAAGGAGUUGUUUGAGUCCUUUUGCUAAUAAGUUUGUCAUUUAGCAUUUUGGAGGCGGCUUUGUCUAUUUGCUGGAGUCCGGUGUAAUGGCUGACUACUGAUGACAAGAGAUGCGGCUCAACGGGGAAUUUCUCGGUUGCUUGAAUCCAUGAGAUUUCCAGCAUCGCUCCUUUUUCUCCAGGUUAUAGUCGGAGCCUCUCUUGCAUGACAUGACAGCUGAAGUUCCUGUUUCUUGCUAGCCGGUAAAAAGCGGGUGUUUUGACGCCGAGUAUAGUAUUUUAGCCGUGUUCUUGUGCUGCUACUGGCAAUGUUACCCCCAUUAUUCGCCAAUGUUGAUUCCAUUAUUAAGUCCAACUGAAACGCGUUGACUUUCAGCAAUUAUUCGGCCUCCGGUUCGCUUCGCUCCUGCUUGUCAGCUGCUUUAGUUUCCGCGGCUUUUGCAACGAUUGUUAGUGGCAGUUUUCACCACCCACUCACUGGGGCUUUUGCCGAACACGGGGGAGCCUUCGCCCUGCUUGGCCCCGGUCUGCAGCUAGCACCAUAGCCGCUCUUCUUCCAAGGGAACCCGGUAAUGUCGUGUUCGGUGAGCGUGGACGGGUCAGAUGGGAUGGACAGCAUCGGUAGCUCCCUACCUGCAAUGCCUGAACCAUCCAAUCCGAUCAGCAUGAAGCAGCCGCCCGAGUCCCUGAGCACCCUGAAGGGCCGGGCGGACAUGGGCAGCGACCCGGCUCUGCUGAUGGACAAAGCCGCCGCGCAGCUCGCCGCCACGCUCCAGGACGGCGUUCUCCAGAAGAUGUCCGGCCACAACCACAGCCACGAGAGGCUGAAGGACCUCACCUCCCUGGUGCUGAACGGCGACCAGGACGCUCUGCCCAAGCUCUGCACCCCAGAGCCGCCCAUGCUGAAAGGCGACGAGGCGCCCGCCACCAACGACGCCCACCAGCACAACCGCACGCCUCAUGACGAGGCCGAGCUGAAGGCGACCGUACCGGCGGCGGCGGAGCAGCCCCCGCUGGAGCCUUCCUGUGCAGACGGGGCCGGCUUGGUCACAGCCACAGAGAGCGCUUCACCUGGUCCUGACUUGGGACAGGAAGCGAAGAAAAGGAGGGGGAGACCCAACAAACCCAAACUUAUUCUGAACCGCAGCUCUGUCAGCGCCAUGGAGACACCUGACCACACAGAGGUUAUUGGAGAAACAGACGCGGCAAAUGAGCCCACGGCCGUGUCCAAACAGCCGGAGCCGAUAACAGAAGAGGGCCCUGUACCUACGCGGUUCUGCGUGGGGGAUCUGGUUUGGACCAAGGUGUCGGGGUACCCAUGGUGGCCCUGCAUGGUGACCACAGACCCAGAACUCAACAGUCACUUCAAACAGAAACAGAAAGCCUUCAACAGCAGGUUAGGCCUCCUUUACCACAUCCAGUAUUUUGGUGACGCUCCAGAGAGAGGCUUUGUCUUUGAGAAGAACAUGGUGUCCUUCACUGGGGAGGAGCAGUAUGUGGAGCUCAGCCAGAGAAACAAACCACCAGCCUCCAGCGCUGCACAUAGAAAGAUGGCUCCCUCGGUUCCCCGUAACCUUCAGGCUCAGUGGAACAUGGGCGUCAUUCAGGCCAAAGAGGCUGUCGGCAUGGCACCGGACCAGCGCAUCGACAGCUUUGGGUUUACUUACGACAGGGACGGGCCCCAUCUGAACCCUCUCAUCUUGGAAAAGCUGAAUAUGGAUCCCACUGACGAGACGCACCGAGCGACGGAACCCAGGCUGGGCCCGGACGUCCCCUCCCUGCCGAAUCCCGUAGCUUUUCCUUCAGAUGCACGAACUUCUGAGUCUCAGAAGAAAAAGCGACGGCCCAAAGUGGCUCAGCGUCCCGUCAAGCUAGCGAGGAAAAAGAAAGCGUCUUCAGUCAACGGUGUUGUUGUCCCCAAGAGGAGAAGGAAAGCUAAGCCGCUCACGACUACUAAUGACCCAGAGGAUGCCUUACCUCAGAUUGCUCUUCUAGGGAGAGAGCAAAAGAAGAGGCGUAAAAGGCCGCUAGCAGACCCUGCAGCAGACAAGGAUCAGCAGCCCAGAAAGAGACGAAGAACUGGCAAGAAGGAAGAAAAGCAGGCCUCGGUUUCAGAGGAGACAAACAAAAAGUGGAGAAGAAAGAAGAAAACCGACAUUAAAGAUCUAAAAGAACCAAGAAAGCGAACAAAGAAGUCAAAAGAUGAGCAGAAUGUGGAAAAGCCAAAGCGGCGGAGGAAAAGAAGGCAGGAUGGAGAGAACCAGGCCGGCGCCUCCAAGACUCCAAAGAAGAGACGCUCCUCUCCCUGUCCUGACACUGAGGGUUCUGCAAGUGAAGAACGUCCCGAUUCUCCAAGCGACAGCCUAGACGGGACAAAGAAAGGCGAAAGGAAAAAAGAGUUUGUCUGUCAGGUGUGUGAAGUGGCCGGUGAGGACCUGGUGGCAUGUGAAGGCCAGUGCUGCGGCAUGUUCCACCUGCACUGUCUGGGUGGAACCCUGAAACCCGACGACAAGCUGCUAUGUCAAGAGUGCAGCAUGGGACUCCACUCGUGUUUCAUCUGCAAGCAGUCUGAGGCCGAGGUGCGGCGCUGCCACGUCCCCCACUGCGGCAAGUUUUACCACGAGGGCUGCGUCCGCCUCAACCCGCUCACCGUGUUCGACAACAAGGGCUUCCGCUGCCCGCUCCACACCUGCCUCAGCUGCCACUACGGCUGCCGCACCAAGCAGAAGGCUACCAAAGGACGGCUGAUGCGCUGCCUGCGAUGCCCCGUGGCGUACCACGUGGGCGACCUGUGCGUUGCCGCCGGGAGCGAGACGAUCACAAACACGGCCAUCAUUUGCACCAACCACUUUAACGCCAAGAAGGGCUACAGCCACCACAGCCACGUCAACGUCAGCUGGUGCUUCGUUUGCUCCAAAGGAGGACAGCUGCUGUGCUGCGAGUCGUGCCCUGCAGCGUUCCACCCCGACUGCCUCAACAUCGCCAUGCCCGACGGGAGCUGGUUCUGCAACGACUGCCGAGCCGGCAAGAAACCAAAGUACAGAGACAUCAUAUGGGUCAAGCUGGGGACGUACAGGUGGUGGCCAGCAGAGAUCCACCACCCCAAAAACGUCCCCACAAACAUCCAGCACCUCCGGCACGAGAUCGGAGAGUUCCCGGUCUUCUUCUUCGGCUCCAAGGAUUACUUCUGGACUCACCAGGGCCGAGUGUUUCCCUACAUGGAAGGAGACAGAGGCAGCAAGUACCAGAAGAACGGGAUAGGCAAAGUCUUUAAGAACGCUCUGUUGGAGGCCGAGGCUCGAUUUAAGGAGAUCAAGAUAAAACGGGAAGCCAAGGAAGCUCAGGAAAACAGCCGGAAGCCGCCUCCGUACAAAUUCAUCAAGGUCAACAAACCUUUCGGCAAGGUCCAGGUCUACACCGCCGACAUCUCCGAGAUCCCCAAGUGCAACUGCAAGCCGGCCGACGAGCGCCCGUGCGGCUUCGAGUCGGAGUGCCUGAACCGCAUGCUGCAGUACGAGUGUCACCCCCAGGUGUGUCCCAGCGGGGAGCGCUGCUGCAACCAGGACUUCACCAAGCGCCUUUAUCCAGACACCAAGAUCAUCAAGACCCCAGGCAAGGGCUGGGGGCUGAUCGCCCUGAGAGACAUCAAGAAGGGUGAGUUUGUGAACGAGUACAUCGGGGAGCUGAUCGAUGAGGAGGAGUGCAGGGCCAGGAUCAAGUACGCCCACGAAAACAACAUCACCGACUUCUACAUGCUCACCAUCGACAAGGACCGAAUCAUUGACGCAGGCCCAAAAGGAAACUACUCCCGCUUCAUGAACCACAGCUGCCAGCCUAACUGUGAGACUCAGAAGUGGACUGUGAACGGAGACACCCGCGUUGGCCUGUUCGCAGUCUGCGACGUACCGGCAGGAACAGAGCUGACCUUUAACUACAACCUGGACUGCCUCGGCAACGAGAAAACCAUCUGCCGCUGCGGCGCUCCCAACUGCAGCGGCUUCCUCGGGGAUCGGCCCAAGAACUCAAACGGCCACACGGAGCCAAAGGGAAAGCGCUUUAAGAGGAAGUACAGGAGGAGGAAAAGCGAGGGAAAGAAGAAGUCCGAAGACGAGUGUUUUCGCUGUGGAGACGGAGGGCAGCUGGUGCUCUGCGACAAGAAGAACUGCACCAAAGCUUACCACCUGUCCUGCCUGAACCUCACCAAACGACCAUUUGGCCGCUGGGACUGCCCCUGGCAUCACUGUGACGUCUGCGGGAAAAACUCGGAGGCCUUCUGCCAGCUCUGCCCCAACUCCUUCUGCAGGGCCCACCAGGAGGGGGCGCUGCGCCCCGGGGCCGCGGCGGGAGAGCUCUGCUGCGGCGAGCACGACGACGCGGAGAGAGGAGCCGGCCAGGCCCGGACUGCCGGCUCGGAGUCCGCCGCCGCCGCCGGCCGCUCCAAAGGCUGCAGGAAGGCGGACGGAGCAGAGAGCAGAACCAAAGGCUCUAAGAGGAAAGCACCGGAAGCCUGACCCGACCCAAAGAGGGGCCCUCCUCCACAGCAACAGUACGCCGCCACACAAACAGAGGCACCGUUUUCUUGUACUAGUCUGCACUGAGGUGAACGUCUGUGGUAAAGCACAAAAUCAGCUCGGGAAACGCCGCCGCCGGACUUUCCACCGACCGAGCUGCAGCGUCAUAAUCACUCACUUCUGAUUAGUGUGGCCACAACUAGAAUCUCAGUCCAUUCAUUACCGCAAACAGCAGAGCUCUAGUCAUUAUACAUCUAUGUUUGUUUAUAUGAGAAAAAAAUUUAUAAAAACGAAACGAUGAAUGCUGUAAUAGUGUAAAAUGUGAGACAGGAUGCAGGUGGAUAGUCUUUUUUUUUUUUUUGUAGAUCUACAAAUGUGCCAGAUGGAAGAUGGAGCAGCAGGACACUAUGGAUGGGCCUCUGGUCGUCUUGGUAGCCAUAGAUCAUGUAACUGUAGACAAGUUUUAAUUUUACAACCUGUUGUUUCGUUUUAGCUCACUUAUUUUAUUUAGAUUUUGUUUUUAAAUAGCAGCACUGGAAAUAAUAAAAAGAGAAGAAGAAAAAAGGAUCCUUUCCAGAAUAGCAGAGAUUGUGGAAGAAAAUAAAGAGAAGAAGAAGAAAACCUGUUAAACUGGUGUGAGAGGGAAACACUACAGGGAGCUCAAUGAAGGAACGAGAGCAGAACCAGAACCACAGUGUCACGGCGACGACCCACGGUGCUUUAACUCGUCCUGCUUCGGUCGUUUACAGACAAUACUCCCUUUGACCAUCAUCAUCAUCAUUAUUAUCUCACAUCCUGAAACUGAGGGCGUUGUUGCCGUCGUCUGCUGAGAUUUCUGCUGUUGUAAAGAUUUGGGUCAGAAAACCUUUUAUUUUUCAUUAAUUAUUCCUCAGGAGGUUUUUAAGUCUGACGUUCUCUCUGACUACUGUUGAUAUUGAAACACCGGCCCCUCGGGCUGAUGUGGUUUAUUAAAACUUUUUUUUUUUUAUAAAAGAACAAUUUCUUGAUUCACUAAUCAGAAUUGUGAAAGCAAAGCUGUUAACUGUUCUGUGGCGUCUCAUCCCGACUUUGCUUUGAGAGUUCCUGUUUCCGUGCGUCGUCCUUCAGCACGACUUUCUGCGUUUUUCACAUUUUUCCUCCAGAUCCCGCAGACAUUUUUUUAACUGAUUUUUUUCAAACCUAAAGAUGAAUUACAUUUAGACGUUUUCAGAGGUUAAAGCGAAACUCUUCAGGUUCGGACCACAAGAUUAGAUCUGCUGGGAGUUUUUUCUGUAUUAAAUCCGGUUUUGUGUUUUGGAAAGGUUCCGGUAACGGACUGAGUCUCGGUAUUCCUGGAAUUCCUAUCCAGUUGGUGCUCUGAGCCUUUCUGUCUUACUCCUUGUUACCUUCCGUCGCUCGUCAAUCUGAACCUCUGGCCGUGCCGGAUUGUUGCGGACCGUAAAUCCAACGGCGUAUUGGGCCCGUUGUAGAUGGGCGGAGGGAAAAACCCAGUACAUUUCUGCCAAAAAAAAUUCAUAUUAAUCCCGUUUUUGGGGAAAAAGGGCAAUUUUUGAGUUUGAAAGUCAAAUAUUUACGUCUUUUGGAAACUUUCUAAAGUUGAAAAUCUUCAACUUUUCUCUAGAAAGCUUGAGAUUACUUUGAUGAAAACUUUUUUUUUUGCAAACGUUUGACUUCAACUUCUAAAAUGUACAAGUCUUUUUUUUCCCUCAAAUUCCUGAGAUGAAUGUAGAAAUUUGAGUUUUUAUCUGGCAAAUUUUUUCUCUUCAAACUAAGAAAUUU